UACGAAGGGGCUAGCGUUGCUCGGAAUCACUGGGCGUAAAGGGUGCGUAGGCGGGUUUACGUUAGUCAGGGGUGAAAUCCUGGAGCUCAACCCUCAGAACUGCCUUUGAUACUGAAGAGCUUGAGUCCGGGAGAGGUGAGUGGAACUGCGAGUGUAGAGGUGAAAUUCGUAGAUAUUCGCAAGAACACCAGUGGCGAAGGCGGCUCACUGGCCCGGUACUGACGCUGAGGCACGAAAGCGUGGGGAGCAAACAGG
rnacentral:rRNA from 1 species